CAUUAAUAAAAAUUAUCAUGUGAAUGCAUUUAAAAACUAUUUACCCUUUUAAGUCAUUUCAUAUAAGGAUGAAAUAAAUAUUAGAAUAAAAGUGAUUAGUCUGCUGAUGAAAUAUAAUGAGGAAUCAAAUAUCACAACUCAAAAGAAAAAAAAAGAGCCAUCGUUUGGCUUGACGGGAUCUAAAAUUAUCUAAAAUUAAGCCUAAAGAAAAAUUCGACAUCAUUGUGCCCCCAUUACAAAUAAAUUAAUCUUGACAAACUCAACAGCAAGGGUGAGUAGGGGACCAAAAUCCAUUUUAGACUUCGCAUUCACACUUCUAACCUAGAUUAAAAAAUGGAAU
rnacentral:lncRNA from 1 species